AAACAGUAAAGGCAAAACGGAUGAAAAUCCGGGACGCAAAGCUAAAGGGUCUAAGUCAGAUGAUAAUCAAUGCAUCAUGAUAUGACAGCCAGUUGCCACA
rfam:Acetobacterium wieringae strain DSM 1911 ACWI_contig000033, whole genome shotgun sequence.